UGAGGAAUAUUGGUCAAUGGGCGCAAGCCUGAUGCAGCGACGCCGCGUGAGGGAUGACGGCCUUCGGGUUGUAAACCUCUUUCGCCAGGGACGAAGCGCAAGUGACGGUACCUGGAGAAGAAGGACCGGCCAACUACGUGCCAGCAGCCGCGGUAAUACGUAGGGUCCGAGCGUUGUCCGGAAUUACUGGGCGUAAAGAGCUCGUAGGUGGUUUGUCGCGUUGUUCGUGAAACCUCACAGCUUAACUGUGGGCGUGCGGGCGAUACGGGCAGACUGGAGUACUGCAGGGGAGACUGGAAUUCCUGGUGUAGCGGUGGAAUGCGCAGAUAUCAGGAGGAACACCGGUGGCGAAGGCGGGUCUCUGGGCAGUAACUGACGCUGAGGAGCGAAAGCGUGGGGAGCAAACA
rnacentral:rRNA from 1 species